CUUCUCCCUUGAGGAACAUGAUGUUUUCUUAUUUCCACCAGGCAGCACAAGACCAUAACCAGAAAUUUGGAGCCACAUUUAAUUAUUAAAUACUAUCUAGGACAAUGGACAAUGGUCAGAUCCAAAUUCAGGAUUCCCAGAGUAGCCAGAACUACUUUAUUCAGAGACUUCUAGAGGCAAAACCCACAAGGCUAUGUGCUUUCUGUCUUUGUCCAACAGGGGCAAGCAUCCAUCAUGAUGUACCUCCUGCCUACUUCUGAUGAAGCACAUGCUGUGCAGUUGGGGCAACCAAGUUGGCUUAAAGAAGCAAGAACAUGUGGCCUGUUAUCUUACAUGACCAACAUCCCCCAGCACUCCAGGCACAUAGAAGGAGGAAGAAAUAUUUGAUUGCUGGACACUGCAGGACAGUGGACUGUGAGAGGAAGCCUAGUAAGAUCGAGGUGGGCUUGAAGACCCAGGGACCCACGAGGGACAAACAUUAGGAGCUUCGCCUGCUCCUGUCACCAGGCCCUGGUCUCAUAGCCACAGCCUACCAUGGAGAGAAUUGUGGCCAUCAGUCAUGGAGGGUCAGUGCCUCCACAUAGAGACGAGGCAUCCCUAAACAUUUCAGACCAAGCC
rnacentral:lncRNA from 1 species